UGGGGAAUCUUCCGCAAUGGACGAAAGUCUGACGGAGCAACGCCGCGUGAGUGAAGACGGCCUUCGGGGUGUAAAGCUCUGUGAUCCGGGACGAAAGAGCCUGAGGUGAAUAGCCUAAGGAAGUGACGGUACCGGAAAAGCAAGCCACGGCUAACUACGUGCCAGCAGCCGCGGUAAUACGUAGGUGGCAAGCGUUGUCCGGAAUUAUUGGGCGUAAAGCGCGCGCAGGCGGCUUCCUAAGUCCAUCUUAAAAGUGCGGGGCUUAACCCCGUGAUGGGAUGGAAACUGGGAAGCUGGAGUAUCGGAGAGGAAAGUGGAAUUCCUAGUGUAGCGGUGAAAUGCGUAGAGAUUAGGAAGAACACCGGUGGCGAAGGCGACUUUCUGGACGAAAACUGACGCUGAGGCGCGAAAGCGUGGGGAGCAAACAGG
rnacentral:rRNA from 1 species